rnacentral:rRNA from 1 species
AAUGAACGUUGGCGGCGUGGAUUAGGCAUGCAAGUCGCGCGAGAAACCAAUUAGCUUGCUAAGAGGUGGACAGCGGCGAAAGGGAGAGUAACGCGUGGUUACGUGCCCUCGAGACCGGGAUAGUGUCGGGAAACUGGCAGUAAUACCGGAUAACAUCUUCGGAUCAAAUGGUGUGAUUCCGCUCGAGGAUCGGACCGCGUACUAUUAGCUUGUUGGCGGGGUAACGCCCACCAAGGCUGCGAUGGUUACCGGGUGUGAGAGCAUGGCCCGGCUCACUGGGACUGAGACACUGCCCAGACAUCUACGGAUGGCUGCAGUCGAGAAUCUUCGAAUGGACGAAAGUCUGACCGAGCGACGCCGCGUGCGGGAUGAAGGCCGGUAACCGCUGU